rnacentral:rRNA from 1 species
GACGUAGGGCGCGAGCGUUGUCCGGAUUUAUUGGGCGUAAAGAGCUCGUAGGCGGCUUGUUGCGUCGACUGUGAAAACCUGCGGCUCAACCGUGUGGUCUGCAGUCGAUACGGGCAGGCUGGAGUUCGGUAGGGGAGACUGGAAUUCCUGGUGUAGCGGUGAAAUGCGCAGAUAUCAGGAGGAACACCAAUGGCGAAGGCAGCACUCUGGGACGUGACUGACGCUGAGACGCGAAAGCGUGGGGAGCGAACAGG